rnacentral:rRNA from 1 species
GCUUGCUCCUUGAUUCAGCGGCGGACGGGUGAGUAAUGCCUAGGAAUCUGCCUGGUAGUGGGGGACAACGUUUCGAAAGGAACGCUAAUACCGCAUACGUCCUACGGGAGAAAGCAGGGGACCUUCGGGCCUUGCGCUAUCAGAUGAGCCUAGGUCGGAUUAGCUAGUUGGUGGGGUAAUGGCUCACCAAGGCGACGAUCCGUAACUGGUCUGAGAGGAUGAUCAGUCACACUGGAACUGAGACACGGUCCAGACUCCUACGGGAGGCAGCAGUGGGGAAUAUUGGACAAUGGGCGAAAGCCUGAUCCAGCCAUGCCGCGUGUGUGAAGAAGGUCUUCGGAUUGUAAAGCACUUUAAGUUGGGAGGAAGGGCAGUAAGUUAAUACCUUGCUGUUUUGACGUUACCGACAGAAUAAGCACCGGCUAACUCUGUGCCAGCAGCCGCGGUAAUACAGAGGGUGCAAGCGUUAAUCGGAAUUACUGGGCGUAAAGCGCGCGUAG